GUGGGGAAUCUUGGACAAUGGGCGAAAGCCUGAUCCAGCCAUGCCGCGUGAGUGACGAAGGCCUUAGGGUUGUAAAGCUCUUUUGGCGGGGACGAUAAUGACGGUACCCGCAGAAUAAGUCCCGGCUAACUUCGUGCCAGCAGCCGCGGUAAUACGAAGGGGACUAGCGUUGUUCGGAAUUACUGGGCGUAAAGCGCACGUAGGCGGAUUUGUAAGUCAGGGGUGAAAUCCCGGGGCUCAACCUCGGAACUGCCUCUGAUACUGCAAAUCUCGAGUCCGAUAGAGGUGGGUGGAAUUCCUAGUGUAGAGGUGAAAUUCGUAGAUAUUAGGAAGAACACCGGUGGCGAAGGCGGCCCACUGGAUCGGUACUGACGCUGAGGUGCGAAAGCGUGGGGAGCAAACAGGAUUAGAAACCCGUGUAGUCC
rnacentral:rRNA from 1 species